CGGACGGGUGAGUAACGUGUGAGAAUCUGGCUUCAGGUCUGGGACAACCACUGGAAACGGUGGCUAAUACCGGAUGUGCCGAAAGGUGAAAGGUUAACUGCCUGAAGAUGAGCUCGCGUCUGAUUAGCUAGUUGGAAGUGUAAUGGACUCCCAAGGCGACGAUCAGUAGCUGGUCUGAGAGGACGAUCAGCCACACUGGGACUGAGACACGGCCCAGACUCCUACGGGAGGCAGCAGUGGGGAAUUUUCCGCAAUGGGCGAAAGCCUGACGGAGCAAUACCGCGUGAGGGAGGAAGGCUCUUGGGUCGUAAACCUCUUUUCUCAGGGAAGAACACAAUGACGGUACCUGAGGAAUAAGCAUCGGCUAACUCCGUGCCAGCAGCCGCGGUAAUACGGAGGAUGCAAGCGUUAUCCGGAAUGAUUGGGCGUAAGGCGUCCGCAGGUGGCAAUGUAAGUCUGCUGUUAAAGAGUCUAGCUCAACUAGAUAAGAGCAGUGGAAACUACAUAGCUAGAGUACGUUCGGGGCAGAGGGAAUUCCUGGUGUAGCGGUGAAAUGCGUAGAGAUCAGGAAGAACACCAGUGGCGAAGGCGCUCUGCUAGGCCGUAACUGACACUGAGGGACGAAAGCUAGGGGAGCGAAUGGGAUUAGAUACCCCAGUAGUC
rnacentral:rRNA from 1 species